rnacentral:rRNA from 1 species
CCUACGGGAGGCAGCAGUGGGGGAUAUUGCACAAUGGGGGAAACCCUGAUGCAGCGACGCCGCGUGGGUGAAGAAGCGCCUCGGCGCGUAAAGCCCUGUCAGCAGGGAAGAAAAUGACGGUACCUGAAGAAGAAGCCCCGGCUAACUACGUGCCAGCAGCCGCGGUAAUACGUGGGGGGCAAGCGUUCUCCGGAUGUACUGGGUGUAAAGGGGGCGCAGACGGCGAUGCAAGCCAGGAGUGAAAGCCCGGGGCCCAACCCCGGGACUGCUCUUGGAACUGCGUGGCUAGAGUGCAGGAGGGGCAGGCGGAAUUCCUGGUGUAGCGGUGAAAUGCGUAGAUAUCAGGAGGAACACCGGUGGCGAAGGCGGCCUGCUGGACUGCAACUGACGUUGAUGCCCGAAAGCGUGGGGAGCAAACAGGAUUAGAUACCCGAGUAGUC